UGACAACACCAGGUUUACUGUCAUACAAGUUUCAUAUAAUAUCACAAACAUAGCUAAGAUUCUAUUUAAAUCCGCUUAAGAAAAGUUUACACGCUAACGGCACAAUCUAAAGACUACAUCACCCAGCUCUGCGCGCUAUGAAACCGAGGCAGCGUAAACAGUACUUCAGGAACAUGAAAAGAUCGGAUGACAGUGAGAGGGAAAAGAGGAGAAAGAGGCGGAGGCUUAUACAGGAACUGGGAGAGCAGAGGAUUCCCUACCUUUCUCCUGCAGACCCAGGAUUUCAGGAACUGUGGGACUCCAGUUAUGCAGGACUGGCUUUACGACAGUCUAGUGCCCUGCCAGAUGGUCUCCAUGAGAGAGUGCAGUCUGCUUUGAUAACUUUUCAGCGGUGUGGAUGUCUCCUCCGAGAUCUUGUCCGAGUCCGAGACCGGGACGUCUUCACAGCUGUUUCGCGUGCUCUCGUGGGUCAGCCGGGCUACACAUACCGUUAUCUGGACACCCGUCUGUUCACUAUCCCAUGGCACUGUGAGGGAGAAGAAGGCCAGAAAGAUGAGAAAGAGAAACCUUGCUGUGACUCCGACCUGAGGGACGCUUGCAAAGCAUUGUGGGAGCUCAAUCAGUUCUUUUGCUCAGAUGUGACGCAACAGACAAAUGCAAGAGGCGUCAAGCGUUCCCGCAGUGACACCGAAAACAGUGAAGACACACCAGGGGAGGGGAUGUGCGAAGAGAGUGUUAAGGACAGGUUACUUGAGGAGAAGCAGGAGAAAGAGAAGAAGGAGGAAGAGGAAGAAGACAGCGGUCAGGGCUGCUCUCAUUCCUCACCUCCUUCAUCCACUCCGCCACCUGAUGUGGCCGGCCUAGUUCAGUUUAACAUGACCCUCAUCAACUACAUGGACCCCACAGCCAUGACCCAGCUGAAGGAAGAGCCCUAUUAUGGAAUGGGCAAGAUGGCGGUGGGUUGGCAUCAUGACGAGAACCUGGUUCCUCUGUCACCAGUUGCUGUCUACAGCUAUAGCUGCCCAGCAGAGCCAAAGAAUGAAGGGGUGACUGAAAAGGAUGGGGAGGAACAGAGUAAAGACAAAGAAAAAGAAACAGAGACAGAAGGUGAAGGAACAAGUAAAGAAGAACUAAAGAAAGAAAGAGAAGGAUUGGAAAAGGAGGAAGUGCAGAAAGAGAAGGCUUGUUGGCGUGUUGGACUGAAGGUGGCCUGGGACAUCCACACACCAGGUCUGGCUUUGCCUCUCCAGUCUGGAGACUGCUACUAUAUGACAGAUGAUCUGAAUCGGACACAUCAGCACUGUGUACUGGCUGGUGACACGGCUAGAUUUAGCUCCACUCACAGAGUUGUACAGUGUUGUACAGGAACGCUGGACUACAUACAGAAACGCUGCUCAGAGGCCUUGGAGAAUUUACACACCGACCCGGAGAAGAACACCAAGAGCCUGAAGUCCCUCCUCCCCUCCACCCUCCAGCACAUUGAGGACAUCCACAACGAGGUGGAGUUUGAAUGGCUGAGGCAAUACUGGUUCCAGGGCCGACGUUAUGCUCGAUUCUGCAGCUGGUGGACUAAACCCAUGGAACAGAUGGAGAAAGACUGGAAGGAAAUGGAGCGAAUGACUCAGCUGCUGCUGGAUGUGGUGGAGGACGAGAACACGGCACAGGAAAACAGAAGAGAGUUGGCAGACGUUUUGCUGAAUGCCCUGACGGACAGACAGCAGCACAGACAGACAUGGAGGGACAGAUGCCAGUCAAGCCUGGCACAGGCCUUGGCUGCUGAGGAAGCACCUGCCGACCGACCCUAUUGGAGUAAUGAAGAUCCUGACAUGCCCCUCCCCUUUGACCUCUCUGAAAUCAUCAGCCGCGUUGAGUCACUUCUCUGGAGGAUGUAAGGUAUUAGCAAAGGAGGGAGAUAAAUGGAGAUAAAGAAUGUUAUGAGGUGGAUGUUAAGAGAUAGAGGCCGGGAUGGAGAUCACAGAGUAGUGUCGAUAGGCGGCUCUUGCUGUGCUCUCCAAGAGAACUUACACCCCUUGCUUCGCAUAAUUCUCACAGCUCAUUGACUCCUAACGUUUCAAUAACCCCUGCCUAUGUCUGAAAUGCUGCCAGUUUCGGGAGGAAUGCACUCAAACAUCUUUAAACGAUUGAAGGAUGAAGAAAAGCACUCAGAUGUCCUCUAAACGACUGAAGGAUGAAUGAAAAAGGGAUGACUGUUGAAGUCCAGCAGCUUUCUUUUUAUUUUUAUGUUUUUCUAUGUCAUCAGUGUUAAUGUAGAAGAUCCAUAUUAUAGUAUUCAAUGAAGAUGCUUAAAUGUGUUUUAUACUUUUGAAGUUUUAGAGUUGACAUUGGUUGCCAAAUAUUGUGUUCUUGCUGAGUAAAUGCUGUGAGGUUGGUAUAUAAAUAUAUAAUCUUUCUUUCAUUGUGUUUUUUUUUGCUGUAUUCUUUCUUCGAAUUGCCACAAGCCCCACUGCUUUUCUGAAAGCUUUGUGUGUGCAAAGCACUGGUUAUGAUUGAAAUAAAAUACAAUUCUGGUUUA